AUGGAAGAUAGAUGGAUAGAUGAAUUAUGGUUAGAUAAAUGAAUGGAUAGAUAGAUUCAUAGAUGGAUGGAUAGGUGGACAGACAGAUUGAGGAAUGGCUAUAUGAUGGGUAGACAGAAGUACCUUUGAAACUACCUCUUUCAUCAUAUCUUAUAGAAUAACCUCAGCGACUAAUUUCCUCAUCUCUGGAAGGAGGUGGACUAGUUGGCCUCUGAGGCCAUUUCCAGCUCUAAUUCUAUGGGUCUGAGGCAGGAUAUUCUUUUCUCAAAUAGUUUUAGUGAUAGGUUAAAAAGGAUGAAGGAGCUGGAAGACGAAGCAUAUUGUGUGAAUGAAGACUAGUUAAAGAAGGGGAAGGAAAUGAGCAUUUAUUAAGCACCUACUAUGUGCCAGAAACUGAGACAGAGAGCAGCAGUGAAGGGACUCGGGAAGAAUCUGAAGUUGGAUUUGAACUCAUCUCUUCCUGACCCCAGGCCUAGUGUUCUGCCCAUCAUAAUGUCUGUCAGGAGACAGGCGGUGGCCAUCAGACUAAACAACCUUCAAUCAAGUGUUUUAAAAUCCCGUUGUGAAUAAACAUGGAGGAAUAAUCCCAUUAGAUGAGGAUGCUGACCGGGGAGAUACAUUCUCAUUAUGGUUAGUUCACUUAUAUGUAUCAUGCACACACCAUUUUUGGAGCAAACCCAUGACCGUGAAGGGAACUCUCUGACGGAAGCGCCUUCUCCCAAGGCAGGUCUCUUCUCCAUAAGCACCUUCCAGCCCUCAGAGGUGUCAGAGACACGGACUGAUGCUGGCUUGGAGGACUUUCCCAGGGCCAGCCAGUAUGUCCUGCACAGGCUCGAGCCCUUUCCUCUUAAAUGAAAGGUCAUAAAACGCUGAGACUUGUGGGAGUCCUCCUGGAGAAGCUGGCCCUAAGCUAGAGUAGCCCUCUGAUGUUCCCACUGCCCUAGUGAGGGACUGAAGGGGGAGGCGCACAGUAGGGUCACACAAGUGACAGGGACAGCAUCUACACUGUGCCAUCCCUGCUCCCUUGGGUGGGAUCGACUCCAAGCUCCCCCAUUCAUGGUCCGGCCUCAGUGUGCCUCCCUGGAUCUUCUCGUGUACGCCACAGUCCAAUCAAACCCGCCUCCGCGUGUCUCCACGCCUAGCAUCCAUUUCCUAUCUCCGGCUCUUUGCACAGGCUGUCCCUCAUGCCUGGUCCCCCUUCCCUCUUCCCCACCACCUAUUUGAAAUCAGCUUUCCUGAAGCUUCUGAGAGCUUCCCCCACACUAGGAGAACGGAAGCUCCCCGAGGGCAGAGGCCUCUUGUGUUUGUCUUUCCCUGGCGCCCCAGCAGAGCCUGACACUUAACAGGGACCAUCAGUUCUAUGACAUGAGAGAUACAAAACUGUUCGAUAGAAACUCUAGGGACUAUGGGGAAAAUGGAGGUGGGGCAUAAAUUUAGAAAUGGCAGGGACACAAAGGAAAAGACAGGAGCGAAAUAACGGGAACAGUAGCCGUUCCGUACAUUUAGGUGGCGCCAGGAGUUAAAGAAGGCUGGGUUUGAAAUCAGGAAGACCCGAGUUCAAAUGCAGCCUCAGACAUUCACUGGCCGGAGAUCCUGCACUACUCAUUUCACAUCCGUUUGUCUCAAUCUCCUCAACUGUAAAAUGGGUGUUAUGAUAACAUUUAUCUCCCAGAAUGGUUGGAAGGAUCAGAUAAGUAAAUUUCUUACAAUACCUGCUACGAAAUAAACACUAUAUAAAUGUUAGCUAUUAUUGUUAUUCAAGCUUCUUAUUGUUAUUAUAUGCUUUAAAAUACUGUGGCAGCCUCCAGAGUCUCCAGCUGUUGCUUGGUGGUUGCCAUGGGACUGGGCGAGCAAAGUCAGUGGCCGUGGAUAAGUCUGACGACCUCCCAGCUGUAUAGACCAAAGGGGAGCCUUGGCAGCGCGAGGCCCAUGGCAGCAGGCAGAGGGACGUGCAGGAGGAUGGUGCACUAGGCCUCUGGCCACCUAUCGCACCAGAAGAUACACAAGAAAUCUGGUUCUUGACCUGGAUAAAGAACAGACAUUUGCUGGUGGGAGUGAGUGUCAGAAGGGUGGAGGCUUGUGGGCCAUUGCAAGGCAGUCUCCUGCGGGCUCUUUCUCUCACAUGAAACUGCACAUCAGCUAAUGUGGAAGUUCCCGUUAUGCUCAGGCUGCUCCCGAAUACAUCAAGUGUUGGAACAAAUUUGCAUUUUCAAUAUAAGCAUUAGAAGUGACUGUAUUCACUAAGUGAGUGUUGCAUUCAUGACUCUUCUGCACCUUUUUGUCCACAAAUUAUCCCGAGGAUGCUCCAGGUGCUGAAGACCAUUGUCAGCCCCUGGGCAGUAGCUUGGGCUUCGGGGCUCUGGCCCAGGACGCUCCCUGUGUCCCAAAUCUUAGCCAGCCCGACGCUUACCUGAGCACCAAGCGCCUGCUGAUGGGCUGUGAGAUCAGGGAAG